rnacentral:rRNA from 1 species
UGCAAGUCGAGCGGCAGCGGAAAGUAGCUUGCUACUUUGCCGGCGAGCGGCGGACGGGUGAGUAAUGUCUGGGAAACUGCCUGAUGGAGGGGGAUAACUACUGGAAACGGUAGCUAAUACCGCAUAACGUCGCAAGACCAAAGAGGGGGACCUUCGGGCCUCUUGCCAUCAGAUGUGCCCAGAUGGGAUUAGCUAGUAGGUGGGGUAACGGCUCACCUAGGCGACGAUCCCUAGCUGGUCUGAGAGGAUGACCAGCCACACUGGAACUGAGACACGGUCCAGACUCCUACGGGAGGCAGCAGUGGGGAAUAUUGCACAAUGGGCGCAAGCCUGAUGCAGCCAUGCCGCGUGUAUGAAGAAGGCCUUCGGGUUGUAAAGUACUUUCAGCGGGGAGGAAGGCGUUGAGGCUAAUAACCUCAGCGAUUGACGUUACCCGCAGAAGAAGCACCGGCUAACUCCGUGCCAGCAGCCGCGGUAAUACGGAGGGUGCAAGCGUUAAUCGGAAUUACUGGGCGUAAAGCGCACGC